rnacentral:rRNA from 1 species
CCUCCUGCAAAAAUCAAUAUAUAGGAGGUCUCACCUGCCCAGUGACAAUUUAAACGGCCGCGGUAUUUUGACCGUGCGAAGGUAGCGCAAUCACUUGUCUCUUAAAUGAAGACCUGUAUGAAUGGUAGAACGAGGGCUUAACUGUCUCCCUUUUUAAGUCAAUGAAAUUGAUCUGCCCGUGCAGAAGCGAGCAUAAUAAUACAAGACGAGAAGACCCUUUGGAGCUUAAGGCCCCAGAUCAACUAUGUCAAGAACUUUAACCAAGUUAAACCAAAUAGCACCUGAUCUUAGCCUUCAGUUGGGGCGACCGUGGGAGAAAACAAAGCUCCCAUGAGGACUGGACCCACCUCCAGAACCAAGAAAAACAUUUCUAAGUCACAGAACCUCUGACCAUAAUGAUCCGGCCACCAGCCGAUCAACGAACCUAGUUACCCUAGGGAUAACAGCGCAAUCCCCUUUCAGAGUCCAUAUCGACAAGGGGGUUUACGACCUCGAUGUUGGAUCAGGACAUCCUAAUGGUGCAGCCGCUAUUAAGGGUUCGUUUGUUCAACGAUUAAAGUC